AUUUGUUAGAGCCUCCCGACCUUGCAACCUCAAUUUGGAAGGAAAAAAUGAGUAUAAGUGAAUACCUGUACAUUAUUUAAAAUACAAUCAUACCUAUAAAU